rnacentral:rRNA from 1 species
GAUGAACGCUGGCGGCGUGCCUAAUACAUGCAAGUCGAGCGAACGGACGAGAAUCUUGCUUGUCUGAUGUUAGCGGCGGGCGGGUGAGUCACACGUGUAUAACCUACCUAUAAGACUGGGAUAACUUCGGGAAACCGGAUCUAAUACCGGAUAAUAUUUUGAACCGCAUGGUUCAUAAGAGAAAGACGGUCUUGCUGUCACUAAUAGAUGGUUCCGGGCUGCAUUGGCUAGUUGGUAGGGUAACGGCUUACCAAGGCGACGAUGCGUAGCCGACCUGAGAGGGUGAUCGGCCACACUGGAACUGAGACACGGUCCAGACUCCUACGGGAGGCAGCAGUAGGGAAUCUUCGGCAAUGGGCGAAAGCCUGACGGAGCCACGCCGCGUGUGUGAUGAAGGUCUUCGGAUCGUAAAGCUCUGUUAUUAGGGAAGAACAGAUGUGUAAGUAACCGUGGCCAUCUUGACGGUACCUAAUGAGAAAGCCCCGGCUAACUACGUG